GUUAAGUGCAGGUGGCGCAAAGCGCAAGGACACGCAUAAGGAUCCCGGUUCAAGCCCUCGGCUCCCCACCUGCAGGGGAGUCACUUCACAGGCAGUGAAGCAGGUCUGCAGGUGUCUAUCUUUCUCUCUCCCUUUCUGUCUUCCCCUCCUCUCUCCAUUUCUCUCUGUCCUAUUCAACAACAACAAGAAGAAUAAAACAAGAGCGACUAAAGGGAAUAAAUAAGUAAAUAAAUAUUAAAAGAAAAGAAAAGAAAAGAAAGGCAGAGUGGAGGGGCUGGCUAGAAAACCUAAUGGUUGUGAAAAAAAAUUAAUUUUGGUAUGACAAAUUGAGAGGGAGAGAGGAAGAGACACACCUGCAGCACUGCUUCACGGAUCACGAAGCUUCCCCCUCAGCAGGUUGGGACUGGGGCCUCGAACCUGGAUUCUUGCUCAUGGUAAUGUGUGUACACAACCCAGAGGGCCAAUGCCCACCCCUUAAAGGGAUUCUUUUCAAGGGCGGAAGCCCCAUGGCUUGGUCACACAUCCACAGAUCUGUCUGUGCUGCUAUUUGCAGACACUACGUGUGCUGCUGCUGCUGCCCUGUGAAGUACUUUUCGAUUGGUACUGUGGUCCUGAUUUCAGGUCCAGCAAAGUGCCGUUUGGAAUAUUUGUUUUAGUUUAAGCAGACAUAUUUUUCUCUUCAUGAAAUAAACCAAUGAACUGCAGUUUGUCAGCUCUGAUUUGCUUUUACAUGUUAAUAGCUUUGCCUAAUUAUUAAAGUAAAAUAAAAAAUAAUUUUUUGUGU